CCGAGUUUACAACUCCCAAACCCCUAUGUGAACGUUACCAAAAUGUUGCCUCGGCGGGGAAUUUAUUCAUGCCCCGGGCGCGUCGCAGCCCCGGACCAAGGCGCCCGCCGGAGGUAUCUAACUCUUGAACUUUUAUGGCCUCUCUGAGUCUUUGUACUUAAUAAGUCA
rnacentral:misc_RNA from 1 species